CGCACAUUGCGCCCUUUGGUAUUCCGAAGGGCAUGCCCGUUCGAGCGUCAUUAAAACCCCUCAAGCCCGGCUUGGUAUUGGGCGGCGGGAUACACCCGCGCCCCAAUCUCAUCGGCGAGACAUGAAUCUCAAUCGCGAGCGUUAUGACAUAUAACUCCGCUGAGCGGUCUCGAUUCGUCCCCGCCGUAAAACAUCUCAUCAAGGUUGACCUCGGAUCGGGUAGGGAUACCCGCUGAACUUAA
rnacentral:misc_RNA from 1 species